UACGAAGGGGGCUAGCGUUGUUCGGAAUUACUGGGCGUAAAGCGCACGUAGGCGGAUAUUUAAGUCAGAGGUGAAAUCCUGGAGCUCAACUCCAGAACUGCCUUUGAUACUGAGGAUCUUGAGUUCGGGAGAGGUGAGUGGAACUGCGAGUGUAGAGGUGAAAUUCGUAGAUAUUCGCAAGAACACCAGUGGCGAAGGCGGCUCACUGGCCCGAUACUGACGCUGAGGCACGAAAGCGUGGGGAGCAAACAGG
rnacentral:rRNA from 1 species